rnacentral:lncRNA from 13 species
AUGGAAUUUUAUCCUGACGCUCUCAAUGGAUCUGUUAUAGCCAAGCUGAUGAUGACACAUCUCAGAGGCUCCUUCCAUAUUGGGCCUCACGCCAGCAAUCUACGCACCAUGCUGUCCUAUGAUUCACAGGACAAAACUGCUCUAGACACCUCCCACUGCCCAGGCUGGAGUGCGAUAGUGCGAUCUCAGCUCCCUGUAGCCUCCAUCUCCUGGAUUCAAGUGAUUCUCCUGCCUCAGCCUCUUGAAUAGCUGGAUUACAGGUGCCUUCCACCACACUGAGCUAAUUUAUAUAAUUUUUAGUAGAGACAGGAUUUCCCUAUGUUGACCAGACUUGUCUCAAACUCCUGACCUCAGGUGAUCCACUUGCCAUGGCCUCCAAAAAGGUUGGGAUGACAGGUGUGAGCCACCAUGCCUGGUUGACUAGAUGUUAUAUUUUUGAAUCAUACAACUUGCAGUAUGGAAGAGAGUUUACAGUGUACCUUAUUCAACGCUGUAUUGUUAGUUCAUUUUCAUAUUGCCCUAAAGAAUUGCCCAAGACUGGGUGAUUUAUGAAGCAAAGAGGUUUAAUUGACUCACAGUUCUGCAUGGCUGGGAGGUCUCAGGAAACUUAGAAUCAUGUUGAAAGGCAAAGGGGAAUCAAGACACCUUCUUCACAAGGAGGCAGGAAGGAGAAUGAAUGCAGGAGGAACUACCAAAUACUUUUACAACCAUCAGAUCUCAUGAGAACUCACUAUCAUGAGAACGGCAUCGGGGAAACUGCCCCCAUGAUUCCACUACCUCCAUUGGGUUUCUCCCUUGACCCGUAGGGAUUCAGGGGAUUAUGGGGAUUACAAUUCAAGAUGAGAUUUUGGGUGGGGACACAGCCAAACCAUAUCAAACCUCUAGUUCAAGAAGCAGAGAUUAAACCCAUAAAACAAUUAUUGGGGAAAAAAGUUAGCUAGCAGACAAUUUUGUGGUACAACAUACUUUUUGUUAUUGGACUUCAGAAUAAGUAGAAAUCUAUGUGACUUGGAGCAGCAGGGGAAGUUGUUAUUAGAAAGAAGAACUUUUGCUGGACUUUGAAUAGAAAGAGUUCAGUAAAAUGAAGAGAACAACAAUUAAAGGGCAGAAAUCUAAGGCCAAGAGGUAGCAAUGGACAUGUCUCAGGUGCUGCAGAGUUUAGACCAGCCUGACAAAGGUAGAGGGCUGUUUUGGGGAAAUAGAGUGAGAUGAAGCCAAGUUAAACAUGCAGAUCACAGAUCACUUGACUCUUCUAGUUGAAACACAUCAGUCUGGGGUUCCUACUGAGCAUAAGCUACAACCUGAUUAUAGAAGGCCAUCCUUGUAGUUACAAGUAGGCUGCACUGACUUUGGCAAGUUUUAAGAUGUUAAACUGUGCUGGGAAGAUUACAAGAUAUGUCUGGGUUGACUUAUGAAACUCUUUUUAGGAAAAUCCAUGCACAGGACAAUAAUCAUCAGCUGGACACAGGACUGGGCAUGGAAUACAGAGUCCUCUCAUUUUUGUGUUGUCCUAGGCAGUUCUGUGAUCUUAGGCUACUUAUGUUCCCUAUACUUCAAUUACCCUAUUUGUACCCUACGCUCUUCUAGAUCUCAGAUUCUAUAGCCUCUAGCAAGAGCUCUGAUUAAUCAUAGCCUCAGAUAAAGAGCACCCCUGAGAAAAGAGAGAAAAUGUAAAGAGCAGGAACUCUCUAUUGUCAUCUUUAGAUGUGGACUAAUAAGUCCUUUCUUUCCAUUCACAAUUUUAGAAGGAAUGAGGAGGUAUCCGGAACUUUCUUCCUUUGUUUCUACCACAGAUGUAGCAGAGAAUCAAGUUAUCUAUGUUAUGCGUGUGGAGAGCAAAUUAGUGGACAUUUAAGAGCCCAAGGCAAUCAUUCAAACUUUCCCAUGAAAAAAAAUCUGUUUUUACAUCCUUGUAUGUUUAUUUUCUUUUAACUUUUUGACUAUUUAAUUAUUGCAUUGCCUCUUCACAGUUUCUUUCCUGCAGCUACUUUGGGGAGUAAACCUUGAUAAAUUAAGCCCGUUUUUAUUGUUUUUAUUAUAUUCAUUUGGAGUUGUCUUUGAUAUUGAUCAAGCUUCUCUUUGUAUGCCUGCCACAUGCAUUCAUUCUUCAUUCAGAUUAGAAUCUAAUUAAGAAAAGAAACUGCCAAGUUUGGUUUCAUUUUUAUGUCAACUUUAUGCAGCCCUAGAAAAAUCUAUCUUUUGAUGAGCUGGAGACAACAGUAAGUUAGAGACAGAGUUAAUCCAUUACACCUUGAUCAUUCAUAGGCAACUGCACCCAAACAAUUCUUUCUCUUCACAUCAAGAAAGUGUGUUGUUUAUCUGAGAGUUUAGUACUGUGCCUGGCACAUAUAAGGUUUUUAAACAACUUUCUAAAACCAAUAAACUUUUUAAAACCAAUGUAUCUGAGUGGCUU